AAAGUCACAACGGUGGAAGAUGAGCAUGCGUCCCAUUAGCUAGUUGGUAAGGUAACGGCUUACCAAGGCUACGAUGGGUAGGGGUCCUGAGAGGGAGAUCCCCCACACUGGUACUGAGACACGGACCAGACUCCUACGGGAGGCAGCAGUGAGGAAUAUUGGUCAAUGGGCGCAAGCCUGAACCAGCCAUGCCGCGUGCAGGAUGACGGUCCUAUGGAUUGUAAACUGCUUUUGUACGGGAAGAAACCCUCCUACGUGUAGGAGCUUGACGGUACCGUAAGAAUAAGGAUCGGCUAACUCCGUGCCAGCAGCCGCGGUAAUACGGAGGAUCCAAGCGUUAUCCGGAAUCAUUGGGUUUAAAGGGUCUGUAGGCGGUCUUGUAAGUCAGUGGUGAAAGCCCAUCGCUCAACGGUGGAACGGCCAUUGAUACUGCUGGACUUGAAUUAUUGGGAAGCAACUAGAAUAUGUAGUGUAGCGGUGAAAUGCUUAGAGAUUACAUGGAAUACCAAUUGCGAAGGCAGGUUGCUACCAAUGGAUUGACGCUGAUGGACGAAAGCGUGGGUAGCGAACAGGAUUAGAUACCCUGGUAGUCCACGCCGUAAACGAUGGAUACUAGCUGUUGGGCGCAAGUUCAGUGGCUAAGCGAAAGUGAUAAGUAUCCCACCUGGGGAGUACGAACGCAAGUUUGAAACUCAAAGGAAUUGACGGGGGCCCGCACAAGCGGUGGAGCAUGUGGUUUAAUUCGAUGAUACGCGAGGAACCUUACCAAGGCUUAAAUGCAGACUGACCGGUUUGGAAACAGACCUUUCGCAAGACGGUCUACAAGGUGCUGCAUGGUUGUCGUCAGCUCGUGCCGUGAGGUGUCAGGUUAAGUCCUAUAACGAGCGCAACCCCUGUUGUUAGUUGCCAGCGAGUCAUGUCGGGAACUCUAGCAAGACUGCCAGUGCAAACUGUGAGGAAGGUGGGGAUGACGUCAAAUCAUCACGGCCCUUACGCCUUGGGCUACACACGUGCUACAAUGGCCGGUACAGAGAGCAGCCACCCCGCGAGGGGGAGCGAAUCUAUAAAGCCGGUCACAGUUCGGAUCGGAGUCUGCAC
rnacentral:rRNA from 1 species